UUUUACAGAGCCAAUAUACUAGCAAGCCUGAAAAGAGGCUGAACAAUUACCAAAUAAAUAAAGAAAGAGCAAAAAAGUAUAAAUUAGAACAAAAAGAAAAAAAUAAAAACUUAAACUGUGAAAAUGAAUUGAAUGGGCAUAGAAAAGAGAAUUAUGAGUCAAAUGAAAAAAAAGAAAAGUUUCAAAAAUAUGCAUUAUGUGUUGGGUACUUAGGAAGCAGAUUUCAUGGGUGUCAGGGUCAGGGAAAAGAAGAGAUGACAAUCGAAAAUGAAAUAGAACGCACGUUAGUUAAAAUUAAUGCCGUCAUGAAAUAUAAUAAAACGUAUAAUACGUGUUUAUCGAGGGCAGCUAGAACUGAUUUAGGUGUACAUGCAUUAUACAAUGUUUUUGUUUAUUUGAUUAACCUUGAGUGUGCUGAUGGUGACGGUGACGGUGAUGGUGGAAGUAGUGGUGAUCAUUGUGAGAAGAAGGGAAAAGAGUUGGUAGAAUGUGCAAAUAAGAAUAGUGUUUUUGACACUUCUGCGGACUCCAAUUUUUCUUCUUCUUCUUCUUCUUCUUCUUCCACUGCAACUGCAACUGCAACUUCCACCCCCAUUGCCACUACCACCGAUGAUGUCUUCGAAUUACGAACAAAAAAGGAACAACGUUUUAUAAAACUAUUUAACAAGCACCUGCCUGACGAUAUCCAAUGCUUUAGAAUCUAUAAAGUGACAAAAAGCUUCGACGCUAGGAAAUUUUGUUCAUUCAGGAAAUAUGAGUAUUUAAUUCCAGUUUAUGUUUUAACGGAAGUUACCGUUAAUUUGAAAUAUCAAAAUGAAGUGAAUGCAGUUAUGGAACAUAUAAAUAAUUUUAUGGUAGAGAAUGAAAAAGUAAAAAAAAUGAGAAGAAAACAAAAACGUGGAAAUAAUAGAAAUGGGAAGUUGAUAUCGUACGAAUCGACGGAUAAAAAUAUGGCAGACAUAUCUGUUAAAAAUGGUGAUAAAAAAGAUGACAAAGCAGAUGGCAAAAAAGAUGACAAAGAAAAUGACAAAACAUGUGACAAAGAAAAUGACAAAGCAGAUGACAAAGAAAAUGACAAAACAGGUGACAAAGAAAAUGACAAAACAGGUGACAAAGAAAAUGACAAAACAUGUGACAAAGAAAAUGACAAAGCAGAUGACAAAGAAAAUGACAAAACACAUGACCAAGUUAGUAGUACGAGGGAAGUUAGUAUAAUCGAGACCAUUAAUAAAUGUGACAAAAAUGACAAAACAUAUGACCAAGUUGGUAGUACGAGAGAAGUUAGUAUAAUCGAGACCAUUAAUAAAUGUGGCAAAAAUGACAAAACAGGUGGCAAAAAUGACAUUUCCAACAUUGAACCCUUAUUCACAACCAACACAAAGAAAAUAAAUUUAUCAGAAAAAGACUUAGACUUACUUAUCGGAAUUUUGCAAACAUAUAUAGGGCAUCAUAACUUUCAAUGCUUUACAAAAAGAAACCUAGAUAAAACUCCUUAUAGAUAUAUGAAAUAUAUUGAUGUAAGUAGUGUAAGUAUAUUAAACCAUAAUUUUGUAUCAAUUCAAAUAGUAGGUCAAUCUUUUUUAAUGUAUCAAAUAAGAAAAAUGAUAUCUUUAGCUGUUGAGGUAUUUCGUAAUAGUACUGCUCGUCAUUCUAUUUAUUACUGUUUAAAUGUAAAGGAAAAAAAAAAUGUACAUGUUCCAUUAUUCCCUCCUGAUGGGCUUCUAUUAGUUUGUCCAUAUUUUUGUUCAUAUAAUACUAAGACUUGUAACCCUCCUAACAGCCCACCUUUAAUUUUCGAGGAAACUGAAGAUAUUUUAAAAUUCAAAAGAGAACAGAUAGCCAAGUGUAUGAUCGAAAAGAUGAACAGCAGCGUGUAGGUUUUUUUUUUUUUUUUCUAUACUUACAUACGUACAUAUAUAUAUAUAUAUAUAUGUAUGUAUAUGCACCGGUUUUCACUCAUAUUUUUUUUAUUUAUUUAUUUUUUUUUCUUAACCUCAGAUGGACAGACUGGAUGGAUAGAAUUAACAAAAGACCUUUUAUAUAUAAUUUUUUGAAAGAUAAACUAAAUGUACAAAAUUGAAGACUUUGAAUCGGGUAUACAAUGGUGAAUAACUUUUGUAGUUAUAUAGUUUAAAUAGUUUACAGGAAAGCAAGCGGACAUGAGUUGUUGUAAAACUACUUAAAUAUAUUACAAUUUUUAAUUUUUUUUUAUUGUCCUUACUUGCUGAAAUUGACUAAUAUGUGUAAGCGUACGUAAAUAUACACGUGCGUAUAGCUAAAAAAAAACAAAGUGAAAAAGAAGGGUAAAGCUUCAGUAGUUUUUGAAUUUACAACGUCUCUUAUAAAAUCGGAUAAAUUUCGUUAUUCCAAAAAAAACAU
rnacentral:lncRNA from 1 species